rnacentral:rRNA from 1 species
AAUGAACGUUGGCGGCGUGGAUUAGGCAUGCAAGUCGAGCGGGCUAUUGUAGCAAUAUGAUGGCAAGCGGCGAAAGGGAGAGUAACGCGUAGAUAUCUGCCCUCAGAUCUGGGAUACCGCGGCACAACCGCAAGCAAUACCAGAUAAUGUCUCCGGACCAAAGGUGUGAUUCCGUCUGAGGAUGUGUCUGCGUCCUAUUAGCUUGUUGGUGGGGUAAUGGCCCACCAAGGCAAUGAUGGGUACUGGGUGUGAGAGCACGACCCAGCUCACUGGGACUGAGAUACUGCCCAGACACCUACGGGUGGCUGCAGUCGAGGAUCUUCGGCAAUGGGCGCAAGCCUGACCGAUCGACGCCGCGUGCGGGAUGAAGGCCUUCGGGUUGUAAACCGCUGUCGUAGGGGAUGAAAUGCCGGUGGGUACUCUCAUCGGUCUGACAUAUCCUAGGAGGAAGGACGGGCUAAGUUCGUGCCAGCAGCCGCGGUAACAC